ACUCCUACGGGAGGCAGCAGUGGGGAAUAUUGCGCAAUGGGCGAAAGCCUGACGCAGCGACGCCGCGUGCGGGAUGAAGGCCUUCGGGUUGUAAACCGCUGUCGGGAGGGACGAAGUUCUGACGGUACCUCCAAAGGAAGCACCGGCUAACUCUGUGCCAGCAGCCGCGGUAAU
rnacentral:rRNA from 1 species